AUUGGCUUGGUGGGCUUACACUUUUCCAAUGACCGGAGCUGCUAUUGCCACGAUCAAGUACUCGAUCAUGGUUAACACGGUUGUGACAAAGUGCCUGGUUGUUAUACUUUGCACCCUUUCUACAUUCACAGUGACAGGACUGCUUGUGACAACCAUCAUCCAUGCCUUUGUUCUAAGAGACCUCUUUCCAAAUGACAUUUCUAUUGCAAUUAGUGAAAGAAAACCUAAAACACAUAGACGAUGGUAUCAUCAUAGACGAGCUGGAAGCACAGAUAUUGAUCAAUUCCUUAAGUACGCUGAUUCUGCUGAAGCCAAAGAUAUCGAAGCAGCUCUAUCUGGCAGCGUAGAGUUAAUAAGCGCCUCUGCUCCAAAAGAAGUUAGUCAAGAUUGAGUCGUUCUGUUUGAGGAUCCUGCGUUAAAAUAGCUUGCAUUCGCUUGUAAAGCCUUAUACUUUUAAUCAAGUGAGGAACACCAAAGAGUUUGGUGAUCCUGUGAACUUGAUAUAGAAGAAGGCACAUGAAAGGUCUUGUAAAAAGAAGGAUGCAAGAGGAGAACGAGUGUCGUUCCAAGUUUAAAGUUUUCCUUUUUGUAUAAAGUGUUUGAGAUGAGUAUCUAUAAUAAAAGGGUCCUUAGUUAUCUUUUUUCACCUCUGAGGAUUGCUGUCUUUUUUGUUGUGUUUUAUACAGAAGGACUGAGACUUUUAAGCAUUUUCACCUACGAGAAUAAAG
rnacentral:misc_RNA from 1 species